UACGAAGGGGGCUAGCGUUGCUCGGAAUCACUGGGCUUAAAGCGUGUGUAGGCGGAUCGUUAAGUGCCUUGUGAAAUCCCACGGCUCAACCGUGGAACUGCUUGGCAUACUGGCGGUCUUGAGCAACCUAGGGGCGAGCGGAACAAAUGGUGGAGCGGUGAAAUGCGUAGAUAUCAUUUGGAACGCCAAUGGUGAAAACAGCUCGCUGGGGGUUUGCUGACGCUGAGACACGAAAGCCAGGGGAGCAAACGGG
rnacentral:rRNA from 1 species